rnacentral:rRNA from 1 species
GACGAACGCUGGCGGCGUGCCUAAUACAUGCAAGUCGAACGCAGUGGGGACGGGUGAGUAACACGUGGGUAACCUCCCAUCAGAGGGGAUAACACUUGGAAACAGGUGCUAAACCGAUACUGAUGGAUGAACCCGCGGUGCAUUAGCUAGUAGGUGGGGUAAAGGCUCACCUAGGCGACGAUCUCUAGCUGGGCUGAUAGGAUGAUCAGCCACACGGGGACUGAGACAAGGCCCAGACUCCGACGGGAGGAAGCAGUGGGGAAUAUUGCACAAUGGGCGCAAGCCUGAUGCAGCUAUGCCGAGUGUAGGAAGAAGGCCUUAGGGUUGUAAAGUACUUUCAGCGGGGAGGCGUUACCCGCAGAAGAAGCACCGGCUAACUCCGUGCCAGCAGCCGCGGUAAUAC